UGAAUCAACAUUUUCUCGU
rnacentral:snRNA from 1 species